rnacentral:tRNA from 2 species
GCUGGUGUAGCUCAGUGGUAGAGCACUCCCUUGGUAAGGGAGAGGCCGCGGGUUCAAUCCCCGCCACCAGCUCCA